GACGAACGCUGGCGGCGUGCCUAAUACAUGCAAGUUGAGCGCUGAAGGUUGGUACUUGUACCAACUGGAUGAGCAGCGCACGGGUGAGUAACGCGUGGGGAAUCUGCCUUUGAGCGGGGGACAACAUUUGGAAACGAAUGCUAAUACCGCAUAAAAACUUUAAACACAAGUUUUAAGUUUGAAAGAUGCAAUUGCAUCACUCAAAGAUGAUCCCGCGUUGUAUUAGCUAGUUGGUGAGGUAAAGGCUCACCAAGGCGAUGAUACAUAGCCGACCUGAGAGGGUGAUCGGCCACAUUGGGACUGAGACACGGCCCAAACUCCUACGGGAGGCAGCAGUAGGGAAUCUUCGGCAAUGGACGAAAGUCUGACCGAGCAACGCCGCGUGAGGGAAGAAGGUUUUCGGAUCGUAAAACUCUGUUGGUAGAGAAGAACGUUGGUGAGAGUGGAAAGCUCAUCAAGUGACGGUAACUACCCAGAAAGGGACGGCUAACUACGUG
rnacentral:rRNA from 1 species